UAUAGAGGGUGCAAGCGUUGUUCGGAAUUACUGGGCGUAAAGGGCUCGUAGGCGGCCAACUAAGUCAGACGUGAAAUCCCUCGGCUUAACCGGGGAACUGCAUCUGAUACUGGAUGGCUUGAGUUCGGGAGAGGGAUGCGGAAUUCCAGGUGUAGCGGUGAAAUGCGUAGAUAUCUGGAGGAACACCGGUGGCGAAGGCGGCAUCCUGGACCGGCACUGACGCUGAGGAGCGAAAGCCAGGGGAGCAAACGGG
rnacentral:rRNA from 1 species